CCUAGAUACAAGACGAAACUAGUUGAAUACUAUUUUCCUUUCAUCUUUGGAGAUGAAACACAGGAAGAGGUUGAAAAGGUUAGAGCAUUUUGUCAUAAGUUGCUCAAAAAGUACAAGAGACCACAUCGUUUGACAGAAAAUAUAUCUUUGUCUUCAUCAUCUUCACAAUCAGAGUCGUCUACUACUGUUGGAAAAUAUUCUCGCAUGACUGGUUUUGAUACAUUUGUUAGCCUUUUUAUUACUGUCGAUCAUGUAAAAAUGGAGUUUGAUGUUUUUCUGGAUGAGCCAAUAUUGUCAAGGGUGGACGGUUUUGAUCUAUUGACAUGUUAGAAAGUAAAUUCAAUAAAAUAUCUGACUUUACAGAUAUUGUAAGAGAUUUAUUAGCCAUUCCAAUAUCUACUAUUGUAUCCGAUUCAGCAUUUAGUACGAGUGGUAGAUUUGUGAAUCCACAUAGAAAUAGGCUUCACCCGAAGACUUUAGAAGCUUUAAUGUAUGAUCGAGAUUGGCUUUGGACUGAUAUUCAUGGUAGAAUUUAUUGUUUUAUAUUUGUUAUUCAUGCACUUUCUUUUAUUGCUAAUUUUUUCCUCUUUUGUGUAUAGAAAAUUCCGCUUCUUCAUCAUACUCCGGAG
rnacentral:lncRNA from 1 species